rnacentral:rRNA from 1 species
GUCUAUGGCCAUACCACCCUGAACGCACCCGAUCUUGUCUGAUCUCGGAAGCUAAGCAGGGUCGGGCCUGGUUAGUACUUGGAUGGGAGAAACCUCAUGAUGGACACUGCCCCAGACC